rnacentral:rRNA from 1 species
GCCAGCAGCCGCGGUAAUACGGGGGGUGCGAGCGUUGUUCGGAAUUAUUGGGCGUAAAGAGCGUGUAGGCGGCUGGAUCAGUCAGAUGUGAAAUCCCUGGGCUUAACCCAGGACGUGCAUUUGAAACUGUCCAGCUUGAGUAGGGGAGAGGAAAGUGGAAUUCCUGGUGUAGAGGUGAAAUUCGUAGAUAUCAGGAGGAACACCGGUGGCGAAGGCGACUUUCUGGCCCUAUACUGACGCUGAGACGCGAGAGCGUGGGUAGCAAACAGGAUUAGAUACCCUGGUAGUCCACGCUGUAAACGAUGUUCACUAGGUGUUGGGGGUAUUGACCCUCUCAGUGCCGCAGCUAACGCAUUAAGUGAACCGCCUGGGGAGUACGGUCGCAAGAUUAAAACUCAAAGGA